UCGUAACAAGGUUUCCGUAGGUGAACCUGCGGAAGGAUCAUUGUCG
rnacentral:rRNA from 2 species